AGAUAAUUUGAUCUAUCAAAGCAUCCAAAUUAAACACAUCUCCUCGAAACACAAUAUUAUUCUGAGUGCGCCAUAUGCUCCAAGUAGUUGCUAACCAAAUGACAUGACGAGUUUUAGCAAGUCUCUUACUCAUCACCAAAUCACCAAAAGAUAUGAAGUGCUUCCACCCUUCCUCAAAGGGGAUGAAAUCCACAGCGAUCCACUUAUAAAUUUUCUUCCAAACUUGAAUUGAGACAGAGCAAUUAAAAAAUAAAUGAUCUAUGUCUUCUUCUUCUCUAAAGCAAAACACGCAACAAAACUCACGUGGAUUAUUGAUAUUUCCUUUUCAUUUUUUUCUACUGCAAUUGCAGCGCAUCCACCACAUUACUAUUAAUAGUCAAAAAAGAAUCACGGUUUUGCAAGAAACAAUAUGCUGAUUUUACCGUAAACAUACCGGCAUGGUUCAUGAGCCAUUUUCGAUGAUCCAAG
rnacentral:lncRNA from 1 species